GUGACCACAGUGUUUAACGGCCGCGGUAUCCUGACCGUGCGAAGGUAGCGUAAUCACUUGUCUUUUAAAUGAAGACCUGUAUGAAUGGCAUCACGAAGGUUCAACUGUCUCCUUCCCCCAGUCAAUGAAAUUGAUCUGCCCGUGCAGAAGCGGACAUAAAAACAUAAGACGAGAAGACCCUGUGGAGCUUUAGGCCAAGGAUCAAACAUGUAAAACAGACUCAAACCCUAAAAAGAAUAAUAAUAGUCCAAAAACCAAGAGUAACCUGAUCCUAAUGCCUUCGGUUGGGGCGACCGCGGGGGAAAAUAAAGCCCCCACAUGGAAUGGAACUACUUCCUAAACCAAGAGUUACAACUCUAAGUAACAGAAUUUCUGACCACCUAUGACCCAGGACAAACAUAAACCUGAUCAAUGAACCAAGUUACCCCAGGGAUAACAGCGCAAUCCUUUCCCAGAGUCCAUAUCGACGAAAGGGUUUACGACCUCGAUGUUGGAUCAGGACAUCCUAAUGGUGCAGCCGCUAUUAAGGGUUCGUUUGUUCAACGAUUAAUAGUCCUACGUGAUCU
rnacentral:rRNA from 1 species